rnacentral:lncRNA from 1 species
UAGUUUGUGGGAUCUUGGAUGUUGAGUAUAUUUCACUAAAUCAAGUCAUUUUACUAGGUUAUCGAUUUUUGUGUAUUCGAUGAUUAACUAAAAUGAUGAUAAUUUGAAUUAAUUUUUUUUGCCUUAUUUAGAAUUUUAUAAAGAUUAAUCUCAAGAUUGCGUUUAUCUAUGUAUGAUUUAUUCAGAUUAGUACUAAAAAUAUCUUUUACCUAUUUUAG